GUAGAUCCUUACCUACCACUCUCGUCAAGGCAACAGCAGCAUAUCAGGAACCUAGUACAAUAUUAAAGCGUCAAGCAGACCAAGUUGUCUGCAGUCCCCUUCCAAACUUCUUGUUACACAAGUGUCCGAAGCGCCCUCCUCUCGUGAAGCACCUACGGCAAGAAGACCUCGAAAUUCCUACGUUACCCUUGAGGACUUGUAUCCAAGUGCCGGAAUGAAGUCGUCUGUCACCCUCCUCCUGGCACUGGCGAGUUACGUGGCACUGUGCCGUGGCCAAAGAGUCGACCAGAUCAUCCUGCUUUUGGACCAGAUAGGCGCCAGCAAUCGUAACAUUUUACAGGAGCUGAUUGUUAUCCUCCAGCCCGACAACGUGCCUAAUGUGGUCAACUGUCUGAUCGAUUUCAGGGCGAGAGACGACUGCGACCCGCGUGCUCGAAUUGUUAGACGUCUCAUCCCUCUCCUGCACCGCUCUGGAAUGCAGUGUCCACAGUGUCAACCCCAGACCCAAGCUGCUGUGGAUGCGUUCGUCGAAGCGAUUAGGUCUAACCCUGAAGACUGCGACAGGCUAGCUAAAUCUCUGCAGCUGACUCAACUGUGCUGAGAAUGUGAUGCUGGUCUCCUUAUUCUCCGUACUCAUUCUUUUUUCAGUUCUUCUUCUCGUAAAACUCGAUGCAGAAAUCUUGAUUAGCAUCCAAAGACGAGGCGGUGUUGCAAAGAAGAGCGCAAGUUAGCAGAAGGGAAAUGUUUGUUGAAAAUGUUAGACUAAUAAACGGAUAUAUCCUUCUCUAA